AGAGUUUGAUCCUGGCUCAGGACGAACGCUGGCGGCGUGCUUAACACAUGCAAGUCGAGCGAUGAAAUUCUUUCGGGAAUGGAUUAGCGGCGGACGGGUGAGUAACACGUGGGUAACCUGCCUCAUAGAGGGGAAUAGCCUUUCGAAAGGAAGAUUAAUACCGCAUAAGAUUGUAGUACCGCAUGGUGCAGCAAUUAAAG
rnacentral:rRNA from 1 species